UUACGGUCAUAUCACGUUGAAACACCAGUUUCUCUAUGAUCACCGAAGUUAAACAACGUCGAACCUGGUCAGAACCUAGAUGGGUGACCACUUAGGAAUAUCAGUUGCUGUAAG